UCACUUCUGCUUCUCCCACCGGUCUCCACGCAGCUGCUGUCGAAAGUAGAUCCCAGCCGAGAGCCACCUCCACCUACGUCUCACUCUCUCGUGUCGUUCGGCAUGCACCCCAAGGGUUUGCUGUCAACCCGUGGCAUCGCACGGUCACUUGCUCUUCUGCAAGCUCCUCGGUGGCGAUGGGCAUGGCUUCCGUGAGUGCCGCCGUGCCACGCGUCCGCGAGAGGACUUCUUUUUCUCCACGGCAUGCUGCCGUUAUUUCCUUCCUCCACCGUGCGACACGCACGCCAUUCGAACCGCCGCAUUUGGCCUAUAAGUAGACCACGGCUUCUCAUGGUUUGGGGAUCUCCGAAUUGAGUGUUUUGUUUG